rnacentral:piRNA from 1 species
ACCUGUGGUGGGAAANCCUAAAGGAGACAGC